GGAGGUUUCUUCAACAACGACAACAGAUUCAACUACGCGGUAGCUUGCAAUCGAAAAUAAAACCGAAACAUUGAAGCGUUUAAGACCAGCCUUGUGUAUAUUACUCUUUGUGUUUUGAACAUAAUUUUGUUUACCUAUCAUCUAGUUAAUUUAAACGUAAUUUGUUUGUUAAAUUAGCAUAUGUGUUACAUUGAUACUGCACUAGGCCAAUCGCCUGGAACAUGAGCUCACUAAACUCGACGGAGAAAUAAACUCUGGUGAAAGGAGAGGAAGAAGCUUUCAGAAUGAAAAAGGAGGAAGAGGAGGCUAUCACAUUAAAAGAAGAAGAGGAUGAUAUUACAGUGAAAGAGAAAGAUGGGAAAGAGGUUGUCAGAGUGGAAAAGGAGGAGGUAGAAGCUUUCAGAAUCAAAAAGGAGGAAGAUGCGGUAACAUUGAAAGAAGAGGAAGAACCUUUUGGAGUAAAAGAGGAAGAGGAGGUUAUCUCAAUAAAAGAGGAGGAAGACGUUUUGGAAGUGAAAAAGGAGGAGGAGGCUGAAGAUCGGAUUACCACCAGAGAGAGACAUGACUAUUGUGGAUCUUCUGGGGAGCAUCAACAACAUCCUGAUGCUGACUAGACAGAGAAGUGUCUCUCCAGAUCAGAACACCAGAUUGUACAGCUUGGUCCGGUCUAGCAUACAGCUUGCUCUAUCGGGGGCUGGGCUGCGUUUCUGUAAAGCACUUUAUGUCAACUGUGACAUCUGCAUCCAUAAUGAUUUGUGUCUUUGUCCCCUCUUUAUCGUUACCAGGACAACGCUAGCCCUUCUGCCCUCCCAGAGUCCUCGUGUCGUGCCUCUCGCGGUAGCACCUUAAUGCUGGGUAUGAAGAGGUUGUCUGUGCUGCUGGUGGACUGCAGGAAAACAACGGGGCUGAGUGGAACUGUGAGAGGAGGAGAAGAGAAGAAAGGAUCAGAUUUAACUCAUCAAACGAUGCUCCCCAUCCAACCUGUUCAUCAUGCUUCCAUUGAUUAUCCUGUGUGGCGACGCUCCCCAUCCAACCUGUUCAUCAUGCUUCCAUUGCUUAUCCUGUGUAGCGACGCUCCCCAUCCAACCUGUUCAUCAUGCUUCCAUUGAUUAUCCUGUGUAGCGACGCUCCCCAUCCAACCUGACAGCUUGAGGGGAUCUGCAGAGAAGAAUGGGAGAAACUCCGCAAAUACCCAAGACGACUAGGCUGUAAUCGCUGCUAAAGGGGGGCAGCCAUUGGUGGUCCUGGGAGGGCAUUACCCAGCCCAGCCAAUCAUAAUUCAUUUUUCCCCACAAAAUGGCUUUAUUAUAGAGAGAAAUACUCCUCAGUUUCAUCAGCUGUCCAGGUGGCUGGUCUCAGACGAUGUGGACCUCCUGGGCUGACAUUGUUAUAAGUGGUCUGCGGUUGGAUGUACUGCCAAAUUCUCUAACACAACGUUGGAGGCGACUUAUGGUAGAUAAAUUAAUAUUCAGUUCUCUGGCAACAGGUCCGGUGGAUAUUCCUGCAGUCAGCAUGCCAAUUGCUGUUUUGUUGUUGUUGUUGUUUUGUUUCUAAAUGUCUGCGCAAGAGAGAAGGUGUGAUCGAGUUGUGAGAUGGUACUUUUGCACAUAACACUGUGACUGAGGAAAGGCACUACUCCCAAUAUAAGUGAACCCAAAAUCAAUGUAGUUCUCAUCAUAUUUGCGCCUCUUCGAUGGUCUAACGUUCAUGUCUGUUGUUCGGUGCUUUCCCGGGUAAAGGGGCAGUAGCUCUUCGGCUGCAUCAGAUUCACAACUGUUGUAGCUCCCUCCAGUAACCACGAGCACAACCGUUCCUUGAUUUUAACCUGCGGCUUUAUUCUGUAGCUUUAGUCAGAAUUAUCACCUAUCACUAUAAAGUAAAUGAAAAUACAGCACACUCUUACAACCUUCUUGUCUUAUGAGUGACUUAUUAGCUUGUGUUAGGGUUGAACUGGCUAUUUGUAUGCAUAACUUAAAUAAUAUACCGGGGAAGCUAUGCUACAAUAUUAAGUAUAUAAACUACGGGUAAAUUAACUGUUGAAGACAAGAAGAACUACAACCGGCAACAGGAAGUGCGUCACGACGCUGGGAUCAGCCUGCACGCCGACGACAGGAGGAGCAAGUUUAAACCACGCUCCUCCUCCCUCUGACAGGCCAGCAUUGGGCGGGAACUAUCACCGUCAGAGUAUAAAAAGAGAGAACAAUAGAAUGUGACGCGCUCUUCUCUGUCUGCCCUGCGUGGUGUCACAGCGAGACCGUAU
rnacentral:lncRNA from 1 species